rnacentral:lncRNA from 1 species
AUAUGGUAUGAGAUUUUUUUUGAUAUCGAGCAACUGCACAGAUCGUCCGACCUCUGCAGGUUGUCCACUUGAUCCCUGAUCAGAUUAUCCUUCUCCGAGAGUGCUAGCUCACGUCGAAGGCUCUAGAUGGCUGAUUUAAGCUCCUUCUUUUGGAUCACCUAAACUCUUCUAGAUCAGAAUAUGGAGCUAUAUGAGGAGGUGGUGGUGUGAGAGAUUGGAAUAGGACACUCUUGUAUUUUUUCUUCACACAAAACUUAGAGCCGAAAUCCUAGAACCUACCCUAGACCUCACGCCCA